AUUCCCAGCUCCAAUAGCGUAUAUUUAAGUUGUUGCAGUUAAAAAGCUCGCAGUUGGAUUUCGGAUGGGACCUGCCGGUCCGUCUUUGAGAUGUGCACUGGCAAGUCCCAUCUUGUUGUCGGGGGCUAGCUCCUGGGCUUCACUGUCCCGGGACUAGGAGCCGACGAAGUUACUUUGAGUAAAUUAGAGUGUUCAAAGCCAGCCUACGCUCUGAAUAUAUUAGCAUGGAAUAACACGAUAGGACUCUGGCUUAUCUUGUUGGUCUGUGAGACCAGAGUAAUGAUUAUGAGGGACAGUCGGGGACAUCCGUAUUUCAUUGUCAGAGGUGAAAUUCUUGGAUUUAUGAAAGACGAACUUCUGCGAAAGCAUUUGUCAAGGAUGUUUUCAUCG
rnacentral:rRNA from 1 species